rnacentral:rRNA from 1 species
UACGUAGGAGGCGAGCGUUGUCCGGAUUUACUGGGCGUAAAGGGCGCGUAGGCGGCCCCCUGAGUCCCGCGUGAAAUCUCCCGGCUCAACCGGGAGGGUGCGCGGGAUACUGGGGGGCUGGAGGGCAUCAGAGGGAAGCGGAAUCCCCGGUGUAGUGGUGAAAUGCGUAGAUAUCGGGGGGAACACCAGUGGCGAAGGCGGCUUCCUGGGGUGUACCUGACGCUGAGGCGCGAAAGCGUGGGGAGCGAACCGG